GGAUCUAGCAUGACUUAUAUAUAGCGAAGCCGCUCGUAUCAGUUAUGAGACGCUAGCGAUUUUGAUGGUGUGCGUAAAGAGGGGGAGAUGAAGAGAUAGAGGGAGACUAAGAGUUCCAUGGAUUUGAUUGGAGAAGUUUAGACAGUAGCGUCUGUGUAUUGGAGGGGAGACGCAUGAUUGGAAAAACCAUAGGUCUCAGUCGAAGACGAAGAGCUGACGACUUGCAGGCUUUUUAGGGCUAGUUUUAUGGUUUAUUAAGAUAGACUUAGGCUUUAAUCAAAUGUAUAAGCUGGUGUAAUAGAUGAGCUAGUGAGUUUAAAAAAUAAGCCCACAAAUCAAUCAGCAAAUAAUAGAGAACGUGAUUU
rnacentral:lncRNA from 1 species